UACGGAGGGCGCGAGCGUUAAUCGGAAUUACUGGGCGUAAAGCGCGCGUAGGCUGUUGUGUAAGUUGGGGGUGAAAUCCCACGGCUCAACCGGUACAGGCUCUGGAAACUGGCGGGCUAGAGAGCAGGAGAGGGCGGUGGAACUCCAUGUGUAGCGGUAAAAUGCGUAGAUAUAUGGAAGAACACCAGUGGCGAAGGCGGCCGCCUGGCCUGUUACUGACGCUGAGGCACGAAAGCGUGGGGAGCAAAUAGG
rnacentral:rRNA from 1 species